GAAUACUCAAGCUAUGCAUCCAACGCGUUGGGAGCUCUCCCAUAUGGUCGACCUGCAGGCGGCCGCGAAUUCACUAGUGAUUAGAGUUUGAUCCUGGCUCAGGGUGAAUGCUGGCGGCGUGGAUAAGUCAUGCAAGUCAAGGGGGCCCGCAAGGGCAACCGGCAGACGAGGUAGUAACACGUAGGUACGUCCCCCGAAGUCGGGCAUAGCCAGCCGAAAGGUUGGGUAAUUCCCGAUAGUCCCGCAAGGGUAAAGGUUUUUCGCUUCGGGAGCGGCCUGCGUAGUAUCAGCUAGUUGGUAGGGUAACGGCCUACCAAGGCUACGACGCUUAGGGGGGCUGAGAGGCCGAUCCCCACCGAUGGAACUGCGACACGGUCCAUACUCCUACGGGAGGCUGCAGACGAGAAUAUUCCGCAAUGGACGAAAGUCUGACGGAGCGACGCCGCGUGAUCGAUGAAGUGCUUCGG
rnacentral:rRNA from 1 species